CUGGCUUAGAGCUAUGCGCAGGCCAACUUCCUAAUAAUCUUUCUUACUACCAUCACCAGGUUUUGCUGAAUCUAGUCAUCCAAAAGCAGAUGAUCAGAUGACAAAACUCGGUGUGCACAAUUAAAACAAUAGACAUAUCAUUCUGGGGUUACCAAAAGAAGCUACCCAAAAAAAAGGACCAGAAAGAUAACCCACGAAAGAGAAAACAAUGUGGACAUUCCUUCGGCUGAUUCCACCUCAGUGUUCAUAGACCGUUACAAUAUGCAAAAGCAUCUCAUCAGUUGUGAGGCAUAUUAUUAACAUAGUGCCUUCAAACAAAAACCUAGCGUGUUACGCGCUCAAAAUUUCCGAGUUCUCUGCAGACAUCUCAGAUGUUAUUUGAGGGGGUACUCCUCAAACAGGACUUGCUAAACAAACUGUUUACAACAAUUACAAUUUGCCUCGUCGUCGCAAUCAUCUCUCUAUUGCUCGGCUGCGAUCUUUCGGAUGACAUAUGGUAGAAUACCACCAUGGGUGUAGUAAGCAAGCUCCACCUGAAUGGAAAUCAACAAUUUCAACAUCAGAAAUCACCAUUGAUAGUCAACACUCGCCUAGACAAAAUGCUCAGGAAAGAAUGUCUGUACCUCAGUGUCAAAGCGGAGUGUGCAGGUGAACGACUUGCCGUUGUCGGUUGUGACCGUAACAUCUUGGCCAGGCUUGAUUUCAUUCACAUCAGUCGGAAGCUGGAUGGUGUAGCGCUCAUGGCCUGUUAAGCCAAGAGUGUCGGCAUCCUCCCCAGCCUUGAAGCAUAGAGGGACGAUGCCCAUUCCAGCGAGAUUGCUACGGUGAAUCCUCUCAAAACUCUUGGCUAUCACAGCCUUCACUCCCUGCAGUCACAAAGUCAAAGCA
rnacentral:lncRNA from 1 species